rnacentral:rRNA from 1 species
UGCAAGUCGAACGGUAGCAGGAAGUGCUUGCACUUUGCUGACGAGUGGCGGACGGGUGAGUAAUGCUUGGGAACUUGCCUUUGCGAGGGGGAUAACAGUUGGAAACGACUGCUAAUACCGCAUAAUGUCUACGGACCAAACGGGGCUUAGGCUUCGGCGCAGAGAGAGGCCCAAGUGAGAUUAGCUAGUUGGUGGGGUAAAGGCUCACCAAGGCGACGAUCUCUAGCUGUUCUGAGAGGAAGAUCAGCCACACUGGGACUGAGACACGGCCCAGACUCCUACGGGAGGCAGCAGUGGGGAAUAUUGCACAAUGGGGGGAACCCUGAUGCAGCCAUGCCGCGUGUGUGAAGAAGGCCUUCGGGUUGUAAAGCACUUUCAGUUGUGAGGAAAAGUGAGUAGUUAAUACCUGCUCACCGUGACGUUAACAACAGAAGAAGCACCGGCUAACUCCGUGCCAGCAGCCGCGGUAAUACGGAGGGUGCGAGCGUUAAUCGGAAUUACUGGGCGUAAAGCGCACGCAGGCGGUUUGUUAAGCUAGAUGUGAAAGCCCCGAGCUCAACUUGGGAUGGUCAUUUAGAACUGGCAGACUAGAGUCUUGGAGAGGGGAGUGGAAUUCCAGGUGUAGCGGUGAAAUGCGUAGAUAUCUGGAGGAACAUCAGUGGCGAAGGCGACUCCCUGGCCAAAGACUGACGCUCAUGUGCGAAAGUGUGGGUAGCGAACAGGAUUAGAUACCCUGGUAGUCCACACCGUAAACGCUGUCUACUAGCUGUUUGUGGCUUUAAGCCGUGAGUAGCGAAGCUAACGCGAUAAGUAGACCGCCUGGGGAGUACGGCCGCAAGGUUAAAACUCAAAUGAAUUGACGGGGGCCCGCACAAGCGGUGGAGCAUGUGGUUUAAUUCGAUGCAACGCGAA